rnacentral:rRNA from 1 species
AUUGAACGCUGGCGGCAGGCCUAACACAUGCAAGUCGAGCGGAUGAAGGGAGCUUGCUCCUGGAUUCAGCGGCGGACGGGUGAGUAAUGCCUAGGAAUCUGCCUGGUAGUGGGGGAUAACGUCCGGAAACGGGCGCUAAUACCGCAUACGUCCUGAGGGAGAAAGUGGGGGAUCUUCGGACCUCACGCUAUCAGAUGAGCCUAGGUCAGAUUAGCUAGUUGGUGGGGUAAAGGCCUACCAAGGCGACGAUCCGUAACUGGUCUGAGAGGAUGGUCAGUCACACUGGAACUGAGACACGGUCCAGACUCCUACGGGAGGCAGCAGUGGGGAAUAUUGGACAAUGGGCGAAAGCCUGAUCCAGCCAUGCCGCGUGUGUGAAGAAGGUCUUCGGAUUGUAAAGCACUUUAAGUUGGGAGGAAGGGCAGUAAGUUAAUACCUUGCUGUUUUGACGUUACCAACAGAAUAAGCACCGGCUAACUUCGUG